rnacentral:tRNA from 1 species
GGUCUCAUGGUGUAAUGGUUAGCAUCCUGGACUUUGAAUCCAGAGACCCGAGUUCGAGUCUCGGUGGGACCU